rnacentral:rRNA from 1 species
CCUACGGGAGGCAGCAGUGAGGAAUAUUGGUCAAUGGGCGGGAGCCUGAACCAGCCAAGUCGCGUGAGGGAAGACGGUCCUAUGGAUUGUAAACCUCUUUAGGCGGGGAGCAAUGCCGGGCACGCGUGCCCGGAGGGAGAGUACCCGCAGAAUAAGCAUCGGCUAACUCCGUGCCCGCAGCCGCGGUAAUACGGAGGAUGCGAGCGUUAUACGGAUGUAUUGGGUGUAAAGGGUGCGUAGGCGGAUUUUUAAGUCAGCGGUAAAAUGUCCGGGCUCAACCCGGGCCGGCCGUUGAAACUGGUGAUCUUGAGUGGGCGAGGAGUAUGUGGAAUGCGUGGUGUAGCGGUGGAAUGCAUAGAUAUCAGGCAGAACACCGGUUGCGAAGGCAACAUACCGGCGCCCGACUGACGCUGAGGCACGAAAGCGUGGGGAUCGAACAGGAUUAGAUACCCGGGUAGUC